rnacentral:lncRNA from 1 species
UGAGUAUCAUGAUUGAAUCGAAUGAAAUAUAUAUAUAUAUAUAUAAAUAUAUAUACGUAUUGAUAUUGAAUUUAUUGAUAGUAAUUGUUGAAUUUUGAAUAAUAUGUUUAGUAAAUAAAAAUAAGGAGAAUAUCGAUAUUUAAUUGAAUGAAUUAAAAAUAUGAAUUGAAUAAAAGUGAAUUAAAUUAUGAAUAAGUGUGAAUACGUGAAUUGAGUAUUGACUGAAAAGUGGUUUGAUUCGAAUCGAGGUAUGAUUUGUGAAAUAUGUAUUGGUGCUGAAUUGUAUAUUGAUUUGAAAGUGGGAAGUGAAUUUGAAAUAGAAAAAUGUAUUGAAUCAAAUGGUGAUUAAAUUGUAUAAUGAUUUGAAUUGAAAGUAUGAGAAAGUGAUUGAAUUGAAAUGUGAUUUGAAUUGAAAUGUGAUUCGGAAACCCUAUUAACUAGUCGGGCUGAGUCGAAUAUAGUUGGCAUGCCAUAGGAUUGGAAGUGUUCAGGGAUACUUCGACCUUGAGUCGAUGAGACACUGGGUGUCAUAAUGUUACUUCGGAUAGAUUCGAUGAGGUACUGGGUACCAACUUGCUUCGGCUUUGUCGAUGAGACACUGGGUGUCAACUAUUGCUUCGAACUAUCUGAUGAGGCACUGGGUGCCAUUCUGGUGUGUUUGGUUGGAUCCGUGUAUCCGCCAAGGUCCGAGUCAAGUUAAUAGGGGUAAAUGAAUAAUUUUGAUAAUAUAAAUUUUAUUAAAUGAUCUUGAAUAUGAAUCGAAAUGAGAUAUUAAAUUGAGAUAUGGAAAUGAAAUGUAUGAACCAAGGGUUCAAGAAAUAGUUAGCAAUUUAGUUCAUGAAAUGAUUUUGGUAGUAUGAGAUGUAAAAAUAUAAGUAAAGAAAAGCAAAUUGAAAUAGCUAUUGCUGAGAAAUGAGAAGUGAAAAUAAAAUGAUUCGAAAUAGUGGAAUUAUAUGUGAAUUUAAUUAAAUACAAGAUUGAAAUAUUGCUUAUUGUUAUUAAUGAUCUAGUUGAUUUAAAGUAUGAGACAAUUAACGAAUAAUUGUAGACAUAAAUUAACUGUAUAUAAUUUAUUGGUUAAUGUUAUUAAUUUGAAUUAUGGUAAUACCACUGAGUAUUCCUAUACUCAGCGUACGGUUGUUUCCGUGCGCCGGUUAGUAGAAAACCAGUGUUCGGUCCAGUAUCCAGAGUAAUCCCGACCUCAGAGAAAUUUAGCGAUGUACUUUUCUUUUGAUAUUGUGGCAUGUAUCUAAUAUCUAGGUAAUGUAUUGAUUAAAGUAUGCUAUGUAUGUCAUUUAUUUGUGAAUUAGUGAUAAGUUAUCUGAUAUGUCCGGUAAUGCUCCGUAACUCGAUUCCGGCGACGGAUUUGUGUUGGGAGUGUUACAUUAU